AGGAUCCACCCCUUCCUAGACCUCAUUUAAGGGUUGGCAGGGGAGGCAAGAAUGUCUUGCUUGAGAUUCCUGUCUACCUGAGGCCUUCUAAGGCCUAGGUGAAGGGAAUAUAGCCUGGAGUCUCCUUGCAGGUGUUGUGAUACCUAUGUGGUACUCUUGGGACAGGCUCUUUUAUGGCUACCUUCAAGGGGAAAAAAACUGCAAAGAUAGGAUGAAGAUAAUGGUAGCAAAAGCAAGAGAUCACCCAGCCUCAGCAUCCAGACUUUGUUGCUCCACCUAGACGAGUCUCGGGUCACACCCCAAGGAGUGGGAGACAUCCAAGCCACAGGAUUGACACACAGAAGUGACCUGACUCCCCAGCAGAAUGUUGCAGUUUCACUGCCAUUGAUUGACAAAGGCAGCAUUCUUUAAUCGAGGGAAAAAGAACAUGCAUAUAUGUAUCAGCCCAGGUAUUGCUUGGCUGUGCCCAGCCAAAUCUGAGAUACGCUGUGAGUCUGAGCCCUCAUGGUCACUGGCUGGGUGCUGGGGCUGGGGCCCAGAUUUUGUUGCAAAAUCGUCAGAAUUUCAAGACUCAGCUAGUGGCUCUUAGUGCUAGUGAAUUAGUCUGAUGCUUGUCACUGGAUGUGGAAUCACUGUAUCCCAGCAAAAGUGGCAUUGAUAAACAAAAGUGGGACAAAUGAUCACAUCCACCCAACUUUUGCACUUGAAAUCAUCUGAGAAUUAACCUUCUGGAUUAAAAAAAAAAAUAGUAUGACAAAUGAGCUGAUUUAAUACCGAUGCCAUGGAAUGCUGUGCUAAAGUAGACUUUAUUUCACUGCUUCAGUAGGUAAUAUGACUAGCAGAUAAGACCACACAGGCCAUUAAUUUUUAGCUCAUGUGUCUCUUCCAGUAAUACAGUAAUGUUUGGCAGGAGGGUGAACUUACUAUAUAAAACAGAUUUCUUUUUCUUUAUGAUAUUCUAAUUAUAAAGGCUAUAUAGAACUUUAGGUUUCUGAGGGAAAUCCUUGUUUGCAACAAAUACUGCUCUUAAACUUUGUGACUAGCAGG
ensembl:lncRNA